CACAUGCAAGUCGAGCGGGCGAGGUUGCUUCGGUAACUGAGCUACCGGCGGACGGGUGAGUAAUGCUUAGGAAUCUGCCUAUUAGUGGGGGACAACAUUCCGAAAGGAAUGCUAAUACCGCAUACGCCCUACGGGGGAAAGCAGGGGAUCUUCGGACCUUGCGCUAAUAGAUGAGCCUAAGUCAGAUUAGCUAGUUGGUGGGGUAAAGGCCUACCAAGGCGACGAUCUGUAGCGGGUCUGAGAGGAUGAUCCGCCACACUGGGACUGAGACACGGCCCAGACUCCUACGGGAGGCAGCAGUGGGGAAUAUUGGACAAUGGGCGCAAGCCUGAUCCAGCCAUGCCGCGUGUGUGAAGAAGGCCUUUUGGUUGUAAAGCACUUUAAGCGAGGAGGAGGCUACUUGGAUUAAUACUCUAGGAUAGUGGACGUUACUCGCAGAAUAAGCACCGGCUAACUCUGUGCCAGCAGCCGCGGUAAUACAGAGGGUGCGAGCGUUAAUCGGAUUUACUGGGCGUAAAGCGUGCGUAGGCGGCUUCUUAAGUCGGAUGUGAAAUCCCUGAGCUUAACUUAGGAAUUGCAUUCGAUACUGGGAAGCUAGAGUAUGGGAGAGGAUGGUAGAAUUCCAGGUGUAGCGGUGAAAUGCGUAGAGAUCUGGAGGAAUACCGAUGGCGAAGGCAGCCAUCUGGCCUAAUACUGACGCUGAGG
rnacentral:rRNA from 1 species